rnacentral:tRNA from 2 species
CGGGGCGUGGCGCAGCCUGGUAGCGCAUCUGCUUUGGGAGCAGAGGGUCGCAGGUUCGAAUCCUGCCGCCCCGACCA